UAUUUUUAUUAAAAAUUUUUUUUUGCUUUUUAGGGCUUCACCGAAGGCAUAUGGAAGUUGCUAGGCUAGGGCUCGAAUCAGAGCUAUAGCCACCAGCCUACGCCACAGCCACAGCAACACCAGAUCCAAGCCAUGGCUGCGACCUACAUAUACCACAGCUCAUGGCAACACUGGAUCCUUAACCCACUCAGCGAGACCAGGGAUCGAACCCUCAACCCCAUGGUUACUAGUCGGAUUCAUUUCUGCUGUGCCACAACGCGAACUCCGUGUUAUUUUUUAAAAGUAAAAUGACACUAUUAUGGCUAUGUUUUUAAAAGUUCUUAUCUUCUAAAGAUAAGUACUUAAAUAUGUGUGGAUAAAAUUAUAUGAUAUCUGGGAUUGACUUCAAAAUAAUUUGAGAGGGAAUGGAUGGAGAUGAAAAAGAUUGGCCAUGAGUUAUAAUUGUUGAUGUUGUUUCAGGGAUUUUAUUGUAAUACUAUUCUUUCUAUUUUUGUAUAGGUUUUUUAAAGAUGAAAUUUCCCAUAAUAAAAACGUUUUAGAAAAAGAUUAGGAUAAGAUCACAGAUGUCUUUCCAAUUCUUUUUUUUUUUUUUUUAUUCUGCUCUUUGGAAUACUGUUAAGUCUCAGCCAGUGUUUACUCUGACUAUUUAGGUUACAUAACUGGCCUUUGAGUUUUAUACAACUGGUAUUUUUUUAAUUACAAAAGUAAUGUGAAAUAAUUAGAAUAUUGGCCUCCACCAUCCCCUUUCCCAAAUUUCCAUUGCUCCUGCAGUAAUCAGGGUAUCUUUCCACACUUUUUUCCUGUGGCCAUUUGAAUAUAUACAUAUAUACCUAUACAGGCUUUGGUGUUUUGUUUUUUUUUUUAACAUGGCUUUUUUUUUUUUUCCCCACUGUACAGCAAGGGGGUCAGGUUAUCCUUACAUGGAGUUUUUUGUUUUAUUUUAUUUACCAAAUUUGCGCUACAUAUUUAUCAUUUGAUCACCAUAACCAUCAAGGACAUCCUCUAGUAAAUAGACAGGGAUGUAAUUCAUCCUCAAAAUAGCAGCAAAAUAAGAUGCAAACUAUUAUAUAUAGGAUGGAUAAACUAUAGGGUUCUACUGUAUAGCACAGAGAACUGUAUUAAAUAUCCCGUGAUAAACCAUGAUGGAAUUAUUUUGUUCUUUUAUAUGGCUGAGUAGUAUUCCAUUGUGUAUAUAUAACACAUCUUCUUGAUCCAUUUAUCUGUUGAUGGACAUUUAGGUUGUUUCCAUGUCUUGGCCAUUGUCUUUUUGCCUUUUUGCAACUAUUUUUUUUGUCUUUUUGCCUUUUCUGGGGCUGCUCCCACGGCAUAUGGAAGUUCCCAGACUAGGGGUCUAAUCGGAGCUAUAGCCACCGGCCUAUGCCAGAGCCACAGCAAUGCAGGAUCCAAGCCUCGUCUGCAACCUACACACAGCUCAUGGCAACGCCAGAUCCUUAACCCACUGAGCAAGGUCAGGGAUUGAACCCGCAACCUCAUGGUUCUUAGAUUCGUUAACCACUGAACCAUGAUGGGAACUCCCAGGUGCAUGUGUCUUUUUCAAGGAAAGUUUUAUCUGGAUAUAUGCCCAAGAGUGGGAUUGCUGGGUCAUAUCAUAGUUCUGUAUUUAGUUUUCUGAGGUUCCUCCAUACUGUUCUCCACAGUGGUUGUACCAAUUUAUGUUCCCACUGACAGUGUAGUAGAGUAUCCUUUUCUCUAUAUCCUCUCCAGCAUUUGUUAUUUGUUGACUUGUUAGUGAUGGCCAUUCUGACCAGCGUGAGGUGGUACCUCAUGGUAGGUUUUAUUUGCAUUUCUCUAUCAAUUAGUGAUGUUGAGCAUUUUUUUCAUGUGCCUGUUAGCCAUCUGUAUAUCUUCUUUGGAGAAAUGUCUAUUCAGGUCUUUUGCCCAUUUUUCAAUUGGGCAGCAACGUGGACAGAACUAGAGAAUCUCAUACCAAGUGAAGUCAGAAAGAGAAGGACAGAUACCAUAUGAUAUCACUUAUAUCUGGAAUCUAAUAUAUGGCACAAAUGAACUUUUCCGCAGAAAAGAAAUACAUGGACUUGGAGAACAGACUUGUGGUUGCCAAGGGGGAGGGAGUGGGAUGGACUAGGGGUCUGGGGUUAAUAGUUGCAAAUUAUGGCAUUUGGAAUGGAUAAGCAGUGAUCCUGGUGUAUAGCACAGGGAACUGUAUCUAGUCACUUGUGUUGGAAAAUGAUGGAGGAUAAUGUGAGAAAAAGAAUGUACAUAUAUAUGUGUGACUGGGUCACUUUGCUGUAUAGUAGAAAUUGACAGAACACUGUAAAAAGUAAAAAUCAUUAAAAAAUUUUUUUUAAAACCAUAAUGGAAAAGAAUGCAAAAGAGAAUGUGUAUAUAUGUACAAUGGAAUCCCUUUGCUGUACAGCAGACUUUAAUACUUUAUAAAUCAAGUAUACUUCAAUAAAAUGAAUUUUUAAAAAAUAGUUGCAAAAUAUUCCAUCAUCUGUAUAUUAAUAGAAAUAUAGGUUUGAUUUGUCUAAGAGUGGCUUAAACUAUCAUAGAAAGUUCUCCUUCAGUUAACAGGCCAGAGCAAUCAGCUUUAGAUAGCUGAUCCCGUGUUAGAGACCCAGUUAUGACCCUUCCCUUCAAUGGUCACAGCCAGAAGUUACAAACGUUGCCUUUAUCCGCUCAUGUCCCAGAAUUUUGUCGUGGGGUCACAGCCUUUCCUUAUUGACAGAUACUCACGUUCGCCAUCACAAACACUGCUGUAUUAACAUUCUUGUACAUAGAUCCUGUGUGUACUUUCACUGUUAAUUUCUCUAGGAUGUUUUCCCCCAAAUGGAAUUGCUAUAGCUCUGCAUUUAUAGCAAUUAUGAACUAAAUUAAUUAUAAACUAAACAACUAAUUAUGAACUAAAAUACUUGAAGACAAUUUUGCAGUUGGAUUCAGAUUCUAGUUAGUAAAGUUCUCUAACUCUUGAAACCUUCAUUUCCAAAAGGUCAGACACCAUGUCCGACUGGCUUACCACAGUAUCUAGAGCCUGGCCCAGGGACCCAUGCUUAGUGUGUUCCUGAUGAAUGUUGCAUGAGUGCGGGGAUGAACACUUAGGAAUUUAAUUUACAUAGUUAUGUUUAAUCUUUAUAUUUGCCAGGAUUCUGUAGGUGGCAAGGAACACAAAUCCAAGUCAAACCACCUUCGCAAAGAAGAUGGUUUUAUUAGGAGCAGACUCAGUCCAAUCAAAGACACAGAAGCCAGGGCAGCCUGGACAUCUCAGGGACUAAAACUAGCAGGACUCUUUCUCCAACUCUCUCUCUCUCUUUUCUCACCCUCUUCUUGUGUGUGUAUGAUGACCUUUUAUUGCACAUUUUCAUUGAGUUUCUGAGUCCCAAGGCUCAUAUCCCAACAGUCAUCCAUGAGAGAAGAAGUUUUGUCUCAGCAGUUCUAUUCAUAAAACUUGUUACAGGAGCACUUGAAUUGAGGUCUUUGGUUAUACACCAUUGGAAAAAAAAUCUGUCACCAGAGGAAAGGUGGGGGAGAGGCAGUGUUGUUAGUGAAGCAUUGCACAUGGAACAAAGAUUUUUUUUUUUUUUGCUUUUUAUAUUUUAAAUAAUCAUAUGCAAGUUGUAUUACUAUCAAGUGCUUAAAAAAACUGGAAACAAUUUUAAUAUAAUGAACUUUUUAAUACAUUUUUAAUAGAGUAUAGUUGACUUAUAAUGUUAUGCUGGUUUCAAGUGUAUAGCAAAGGGAGUCAGUUAUCAAUAUAUCCAUUCUUUUUCAAAUUCUUUUCCUGUAUAAGUUAUUACAGAAUAUUGAGUAGAGUUCCCUGUGCUGUACAGUAGGUUCUGCUUUAUAUUUUAUAUGUAGUAUUGUACGUUAAUCCCAAACUAUUAAUUUAUCCCUUGUCUUCACCUUUCCCUUUGGUAACCAUAAGUUUGAUUUCAAAAGCUGUGAGUCUGUUUCUGUCUUGUAAAUCCGUUCUUUUGAUUCCACAUAUAAGUGAUAUCAUAUAUUUGUCUUUCUCUGUAUGACAUUUCACUUGGUAUGAUAAUCUCUAGGUCUAUCCAUGUUGCUGCAAAUGGCAUUAUCUUUUCUUUUUUAUGGUUGAGUGUUAUUCCAUUGCAUAUAUACCUACCACAUCUUCUUUAGCCAUUCCUCUGUUGAUAGACGUUUAGGUUGCUUUUAUGUCUUGGCAAUUGUAAAACAGUGCUGCUAUGAACAUUAGAGUGCGUGUAUCUUUUCAAAUUAUGGUUUUCUCUGGAUAUAUGCCCAGCUAGGGAUUGCUGGGUCAUACGGUAGUUCUAUAUUUAGUUUUUUAAGGGAUCUCCAUGCUGUUCUCCAUAGUGGUUGUACCAGUUUACAUUCCCACCAACAGUGUAGGAGGGUUCCCUUUUCUCCACACUCAUUCCAGCAUUUAUUGUAGACUUUUUGAUAAUGGGCCAUUCUGACUGGUAUAAGGUGAUAGAUACCUCACUGUAGUUUUGUUUGCAUUUCUCUAAUAUUCAGUGAUGUUAAGCAUCUUUUUGUGUACUUUUUGGCCAUCUGUCUUUCCUCUUUGGAAAAAUGUCUAUUUAGAUCUGCCCAUUUUUUAAUUGGGUUGUUUUUAUGAUACAGAGCUGCAUGAGAUGUUUGUAUAUUUUAGAGAUUAGUCCCUUGUUAGUCACUUUGCAAAGAUUUUCUCCCAUUCUGUGUAUUGUCUUUUUGGUUUUUUGUUUGUUUUAUAGUUUCCUUUGCUGUGCAAAAGCUUUUAAGUUUCGUUAGGUCCCAUUUGUUUGUUUUGCUUUUAUUUUCAUUGCUCUGGGAGGUAGCCUCUAAAAGGAUAUUGCAUUUAUUUAUGUCAAAGAGUGCUGUGCCUCUGUUUUCUUCUAAGAGUUUUGCAGUAUCUGGCCUUACAUUUAAGUCUUUAAUUCAUUUUGAAUUUAUUUUUGUCUUUAGUGUUAAAGAAUAUUCUAAUUUCAUUCUUUUACAUGUAGCUUUCCGGUUUUCCCAGCACCAAUUACUGAAGAGUCUGUGUUUUCUCCAUUGUAUAUUAUUGCCUUCUUUGUUUAAAUUAGUUGACCAUAGGUGCAUGGGUUUAUCUCUAGGCUUUCUAUCUUGUUCCACUAAUCUGUAUUUCUGUUUCUAUGUAAAACUGUUUUGAUGACUGUAGUUUGCAGUAUAGUCUGAGGUCAGGGAGCCAGACUCUUCCAGUUCCUUUUUUGUUUUUCAAGGUUACUCUGGCUAUUCAGAGUCAUUUGUGUUUUCAUACAUGAAGCACUUUAUAAUAUCUAAAAUUGUGUUUUGUUAUAUGGGGAUGGAAUCCCCCUGUUAGAACAUAACUGUUAGUCUUAAAUUAUAUAUCUCUAAAUUUCUUAGAUUUUUUGGAAUGAUUUUUCACAAAAGUGAGGAACGCCUGUGCAUGUACUACAGUUACUGGAGCAGUCAUCAGGACAUGGGAUUGGGAAUCCUUCCCUUUGGCUGCAGUUUUCACUGUGUUAUUAACUGUGGCACAAGAUAUACCCUAGGCCUCAGUUCUGUGUUUGUAUUUGCUUUUAAAUCAAUUUUAUGGGGUUUUUUGUUUUUGUUUGUAUGUUUGUUUUUUAAUCUAUAAAAUGAUGGGAUGAAAAACAAUAUUUACUUCACAUACUGAAGAUCAAGAGAGGUGAUGGAUGUGGAAAAAAAGGUUAAUUACAAAGUACAAACAUUAAGUAGUUAUUAUUGUAAACUAUUUCUAAAAUGAUAUUCUUAACAUGGGAUGCAGGACCCCCCAAAAUUAUAUGCAAAUUUGAAUGUGUUUAUACCUCUAUCAGUUAAUAUUUGGUUCAGCUGUAGAGUGUCAGAACACCAAGUUCAAACACCUAUCAACAUUCUGUUUUCUCACAUUAUCAUGCUCCAUCAUAAGUGACUAGACAUUGGACAGUAGAAAAAAAAAUUGUAUUGGGGAAAUAACAAUAAAAAAAAAGUGCAAACACCUAUCAAAACCUAAGUUCACUUCCUCUCAAAGUGUGCAAACUCCAGAGAUAAGCCAUCUAGGACAAGUAUGGCAGAGCCACAAUCAUCAGCAGCCCAGUCUCCUUUCCUCUUGUUGUUCUGCUUUACUAAGCCUCUUGUUUUCCCCUCAAAGUCCAAACUGACAGCUUAGACACUUCAGCCAGCGUAAAGAUGAAAGUAGAGAAGGAGUAGAAGAAAGCCAUGAUCCCUCCCCUUAAGAAUACUUCCUGGAAGUUGAACAUAUCAUUUAUGCUUACAUCCCCUUGAAUUUAGAUGCAUGGCCACACCUCAUUUGAAGAGCAACUAAGAAAUGUAGUCUUUUUUUCUGGAGCUUUCAUUACUAAGCAAGAAGAGAGAGUAAAGGGAGAAUUUUCUGUGUCUGCAAUAAUAUGGAUAUAUAUUUCAAGUAGAAUAAUGAGAGGAUAGAAAUAUAUGUAUUUCAAAUAGAGCUUCAUCAGACUCUUAAAGAGCUCUAUAAUAAACAUUUAAAAAACCACUAUUCCAAAGUGUAAUUAUUAUAUAAACCUGUAGAUCAGAAGUUGUCUUUCUAGGUCACCUUCAAUCUGUACUGUCAGCAGGAGAGUAGGAAAUCAUUAGUCAAUCAAUACAAAUAGAUUUGGUGCUGUCAUAUACACAGCAGUUAUUCCUCUUGAUACUGAUGGUUUAUUAUUUGAAUUUACCCUUUUAAAUCAAUCACUUUAUAGCUCCUAAGUCAAUGACUUCUUUUUCAUGUAUUCUAUAUAUGAUGUAUUACUUUAAAAGUUCUUAAGCAAUUUGAAAUUUUAUCUAUAUGCUUUUCCUCUUUCAUCAUUUUGGGUACUAAUCAAGAUUCUUUUUGAGAAUUAAUUGACUUUCACUUUUCAUAAUUAAUUUAAUUUCAAAUUAAUAAGGCCUUGUAAGCAUCUCUCUUGGUUUAAUUCUUCUUUUAAUGCUUUUGCUUUGUACAAAUCAUCUGAUCUUCUUGUUUAUAUUUCAUUUUAAGUAACACAUGUUGAGCAACACAUAAAAUGUCAAAAAUUCUAAUUUAAUUCAUUUCAAAAGUAAGCAACUGAUAAAAAGCAACUCAAAAAAAGUAAACAGUUUUCAGACAUUUUAAUGGUUUUAUUUUUGUUUUUAUUGCACAUAGUCUUUCCUUAUGUAGAAGUUUGUAGCUAUAAAUGGUUGGGUUAUUUAUUUUAAUUACUGUCUACGAAGAAGUUUCUCUCUUUAGAAACAAGUCAGAUGUCAACAUUAAACAUGUGACCAAAAAAA
rnacentral:lncRNA from 1 species